rnacentral:lncRNA from 1 species
GGAGACUGAAGCUGCUUAAUCUCAUUCCUGAUUCAUCUUGAUCCCUUCAGUGGCUUAUUCUUGCAUUAGCAAUGUAAAACUGGCCCAAAGCGUCAGUUAAAAUGGUCAAUAGUUGCUCUUGACCAGUUCAAAUAUUUUCUCACAAGGGAAAAUUAGUUCUGACCACUUCAAAUUUAUUUUGACCAAUUUGAACUAAUUCUACAGAACUGGAGCCUGAGGUCGAUAAACCCAGGAAGAUGGCUGAGGAUGAUUCUGAUUUGAGCCACAGCAAGGAAUCAGGUACUUACACAAAUGUUGAAAUUGAUCUGAGAACUAGCAAAGAAAACAGAUCAAAUGAGACAGAAAAAUAUAGCUGCCAGAGUUGGUUAAAGGGUGGUCCAAAAGAGACUAAUUGCAUCCAAACCUAUUUAUUUUGAGAGAUGGGAGGCCGUUUUGAGGAGGUAAUUCAGGAUUUGGGACUCUGUGUGUUGGUAUGUCUGGUAAGCAGUGUGGGAACUGAUAGCCUCUAGCAGCCCCAUCCUGCUAGAGCUGCAACUAGAUUGUAUGUGGGUCCAGUGUUGCCUGUAAGCCAUCCCAUGGGAUCAUUCUUUGUAUCUGGCUUAAUUUCAGACUGCAAUUUUUAGAGUCCCAAGUCAUGAAUGACAACCUUUUCACCCCUUUAACUAUGGAUGGUCAUGGUACUUUUUAGCUGUUUAGGGAUGCUAUUUAGGUUAGAAGGAAGAACUGGUAAACC